rnacentral:rRNA from 1 species
AUACGGAGGAUCCAAGCGUUAUCCGGAUUUAUUGGGUUUAAAGGGUGCGUAGGCGGACUGGUAAGUCAGCUGUGAAAGUUUGCGGCUUAACCGUAAAAUUGCAGUUGAUACUGUCAGUCUUGAGUGUGCAUGAGGUGGGCGGAAUUUGUGGUGUAGCGGUGAAAUGCUUAGAUAUCACGAGGAACUCCAAUUGCGAAGGCAGCUCACUGGGGCAUAACUGACGCUGAUGCACGAAGGUGUGGGUAUCAAACAGGAUUAGAUACCCUGGUAGUCCACACAGUAAACUAUGAAUACUCGCUGUUUGCGAUAUACAGUAAGCGGCCAAGCGAAAGCGUUAAGUAUUCCACCUGGGGAGUACGCCGGCAACGGUGAAACUUAAAGGAAUUGACGGGG